AUGAAUGACACAGUAACUAUUCGGACCAGGAAAUUCAUGACCAAUCGUCUGCUUCAACAGAAACAAAUGGUCAUCGAUGUCCUUCACCCCAGGAAGAUAACAGUACCUAAGACAGAAAUUCGGGAAAAACUAGCCACAAUGUACAAGACAAUACCAGAUGUCAUCUUGUAUUUGGAUUCAGAACUCAUUUUGGUGGCGGCAAGACAACUGGCUUUGGCAUGAUUUAUGAUUCUUUGGAUUAUGCAAACAAAAAUGAACCCAAGCCGGGCUCGAAAAAUGAACUCAAACAUAGACUUGCAAGACAUGGCCUGUAUGAGAAGAAAAAGACCUCAAGGAAGCAGCGAAAAGAACACAAGAACAGAAUAAAGAAAGUCAGGGGGACUGCAAAGGCCAAUGUUGGUGCUGGAAAAAAGAAAUGAAGUGUCUAUAGCAGUGAGCUGGAGACUGGAUAACAGGCAAAGGACUAAAGAUGAUGCAGUGACGAUAUCUGUGGCCAUUGUUUGGAUUUUUCACGACGAGCUUAAUAAACUAAAAA